rnacentral:rRNA from 1 species
GGACGAACGCUGGCGGCGUGCUUAACACAUGCAAGUCGAGCGAUGAGGCUCCUUCGGGAGUGGAUUAGCGGCGGACGGGUGAGUAACACGUGGGUAACCUGCCUCAUAGAGGGGAAUAGCCUUUCGAAAGGAAGAUUAAUACCGCAUAAGAUUGUAGUACCGCAUGGUACAGCAAUUAAAGGAGUAAUCCGCUAUGAGAUGGACCCGCGUCGCAUUAGCUAGUUGGUGAGGUAACGGCUCACCAAGGCGACGAUGCGUAGCCGACCUGAGAGGGUGAUCGGCCACAUUGGGACUGAGACACGGCCCAGACUCCUACGGGAGGCAGCAGUGGGGAAUAUUGCACAAUGGGGGAAACCCUGAUGCAGCAACGCCGCGUGAGUGAUGACGGUCUUCGGAUUGUAAAGCUCUGUCUUUAGGGACGAUAAUGACGGUACCUAAGGAGGAAGCCACGGCUAACUACGUGCCAGCAGCCGCGGUAAUACGUAGGUGGCAAGCGUUGUCCGGAUUUACUGGGCGUAAAGGGAGCGUAGGUGGAUAUUUAAGUGGGAUGUGAAAUACCCGGGCUUAACCUGGGUGCUGCAUUCCAAACUGGAUAUCUAGAGUGCAGGAGAGGAAAGGAGAAUUCCUAGUGUAGCGGUGAAAUGCGUAGAGAUUAGGAAGAAUACCAGUGGGGAAGGCGCCUUUCUGGACUGUAACUGACACUGAGGCUCGAAAGCGUGGGGAGCAAAAAGGAUUAGAUACCCUGGUAGUCCACGCCGUAAACCAAUGAAUACUAGGUUAGGGGUUGUCAUGACCUCUGUGCCGCCGCUAACGCAUUAAGUAUUCCGCCUGGGGAGUACGGUCGCAAGAUUAAAACUCAAAGGAAUUGACGGGGGCCCGCACAAGCAGCGGAGCAUGUGGUUUAAUUCGAAGCAACGCGAAGAACCUUACCUAGACUUGACAUCUCCUGAAUUACUCUGUAAUGGAGGAAGCCACUUCGGUGGCAGGAAGACAGGUGGUGCAUGGUUGUCGUCAGCUCGUGUCGUGAGAUGUUGGGUUAAGUCCCGCAACGAGCGCAACCCUUAUUGUUAGUUGCUACCAUUUAGUUGAGCACUCUAGCGAGACUGCCCGGGUUAACCGGGAGGAAGGUGGGGAUGACGUCAAAUCAUCAUGCCCCUUAUGUCUAGGGCUACACACGUGCUACAAUGGUCGGUACAAUGAGAUGCAACCUCGCGAGAGUGAGCAAAACUAUAAAACCGAUCUCAGUUCGGAUUGUAGGCUGAAACUCGCCUACAUGAAGCUGGAGUUGCUAGUAAUCGCGAAUCAGAAUGUCGCGGUGAAUACGUUCCCGGGCCUUGUACACACCGCCCGUCACACCAUGAGAGUUGGCAAUACCCAAAGU